rnacentral:rRNA from 1 species
UACGUAGGGGGCAAGCGUUGUCCGGAUUUACUGGGCGUAAAGGGCGCGUAGGCGGCUUGUCAAGUCACUUGUGAAAUCUCUGGGCUUAACCCAGAACGGCCAAGUGAAACUGUCAUGCUAGAGUGCAGAAGGGGCAAUCGGAAUUCUUGGUGUAGCGGUGAAAUGCGUAGAUAUCAAGAGGAACACCUGAGGUGAAGACGGGUUGCUGGGCUGACACUGACGCUGAGGCGCGAAAGCCAGGGGAGCGAACGGG